rnacentral:rRNA from 1 species
UGGGCAACCUGCCCUGUACUAGGGAAUAAUCAUUGGAAACGAUGACUAAUACCGCAUGUGGUCCUCGGAAGGCAUCUUCUGAGGAAGAAAGGAUUUAUUCGGUACAGGAUGGGCCCGCAUCUGAUUAGCUAGUUGGUGAGAUAACAGCCCACCAAGGCGACGAUCAGUAGCCGACCUGAGAGGGUGAUCGGCCACAUUGGGACUGAGACACGGCCCAA